CUACACUAUGGCACAGCCAGCUUGUGAAACAGUGGUGAACUGGUUGUCCUCUGGUGGAGUUUCUGAGCUUUUACCAGGAGCAAAUAUGCAGUCCAAUGAGAGGUUAAUGGUGAUGAGGGAAGUAAGCCCAUUACCAAUGUCAUUAUUAUCUGGCCUUUCACUGAAUCUAUGUUUGAAGUUGGUCUUCCAACUAGAAGAUUCUUUAUUUGCUGGGCAGGUUAUUCCUAGCAUUGCAAUGGUUGAAACUUAUUGUCGAUUGCUGCUCAUUGCACCUCAUUCAUUGUUUCGCUCACACUUCAGUCAUUUGGCACAGAGGUAUCCAUCCUUGUUGAGCAAACCUGGAGUGACUCUUUUGGUGUUUGAAAUUGUUAACUAUCGGUUACUUCCACUGUACAGGUACCAAGGGAAAAGCAAAUCAUUGAUGUAUGAUGUUACCAAAAUAGUUUCUACUUUAAAAGGGAAACGAGGGGAUCAUCGAAUAUUUAGGCUGGCAG
rnacentral:misc_RNA from 1 species